GAUUUCUUCUUUGGGCACCACUGGAGGACCAGGAUGUGAAGAGGGUGACCUGGUGCAUUCUGGGCCGGCUCUUCACAGAUGAGGUGUCUCAUCAGAUCAACUGAAGGGGGUUCAUAACAAAAAGCCAAGACCUUGCUUUUCAAUUCCAGCUGCUGUGAGGAAAAACACUGACCCGGUCAGCCACGGAUGCAGGGGUCACCAAGCACACAAUCAGGUGUUCAACCUGGCAGCAGAUCGGGCAACGAGGAGACGUGUCCCGCCUCCAUCCACACACACACAGAGUAAAAGAAAUGUUUCAACAAUAAACCAUCUUUUUAUUGAA